CAGGUCAGGCGGGGCUACCCGCUGAGUUUAAGCAUAUCAAUAAGCGAGGAAAAGAAACUAACAAGGAUUCCCCUAGUAACGGCGAGCGAACCGG
rnacentral:rRNA from 1 species